GAGUUUGAUCCUGGCUCAGGACGAACGCUGGCGGCGUGCCUAAUACAUGCAAGUCGAACGAACUCUGGUAUUGAUUGGUGCUUGCAUCAUGAUUUACAUUUGAGUGAGUGGCGAACUGGUGAGUAACACGUGGGAAACCUGCCCAGAAGCGGGGGAUAACACCUGGAAACAGAUGCUAAUACCGCAUAACAACUUGGACCGCAUGGUCCGAGUUUGAAAGAUGGCUUCGGCUAUCACUUUUGGAUGGUCCCGCGGCGUAUUAGCUAGAUGGUGAGGUAACGGCUCACCAUGGCAAUGAUACGUAGCCGACCUGAGAGGGUAAUCGGCCACAUUGGGACUGAGACACGGCCCAAACUCCUACGGGAGGCAGCAGUAGGGAAUCUUCCACAAUGGACGAAAGUCUGAUGGAGCAACGCCGCGUGAGUGAAGAAGGGUUUCGGCUCGUAAAACUCUGUUGUUAAAGAAGAACAUAUCUGAGAGUAACUGUUCAGGUAUUGACGGUAUUUAACCAGAAAGCCACGGCUAACUACGUGCCAGCAGCCGCGGUAAU
rnacentral:rRNA from 1 species